rnacentral:misc_RNA from 1 species
CCGGGUAUUGUAGGUUGGUUCGCCAGCAUACUACCUUCACCCUUUACAAAUCCGUCCACCUUCGUUGGCGUAUGAGCGUGAGUAUAUCUCCGCUUGCCAGCAAUACUUAAACCCUGCCAAACCUUUGCAGUCUGAGUAAAAUGUUAAUAAAAA